AAAGUUAAUUUAUAGGCCGUAGACAGUAGGUGCAUUUAGCGUAACGUAAAUCAACCUACCGAGGAUAUUCGUUUGGAUUUCAACCUCUCUGUCCAUGUCUACGGUCAGAGGGGUUUUUUAAUAAU
rnacentral:sRNA from 1 species